rnacentral:rRNA from 1 species
ACAGCAGUAGCCGCGGGAACACGAAGGGGGCUAGCGUUGUUCGGAUUUACUGGGCGUAAAGCGCACGUAGGCGGAUCGAUCAGUCAGGGGUGAAAUCCCAGAGCUCAACUCUGGAACUGCCUUUGAUACUGUCGAUCUGGAGUAUGGAAGAGGUGAGUGGAAUUCCGAGUGUAGAGGUGAAAUGCGUAGAGAUCGGGAGGAACUUCAGUGGCGAAGGCGGCCAUCUGGGACAAUACUGACGCUGAGGCACGAAAGCGUGGGGAGCAAACAGGAUUAGAUACCCGUGUAGUCCCUGUCUCUUAUAC